GAGCAUUAGCAAUAAUGCUUAGCGGCGGACGGGUGAGUAACACGUGGGUAACCUGCCUCAUGCAGGGGGAUAGCCAACCGAAAGGUUGAUUAAUACCGCAUAACCCAGAGGAUAUGCAUAUAUCUUUUGGCAAAGGAGAAAUCCGGCAUGAGAUGGACCCGCGGCCCAUUAGCUAGUUGGUGAGGUAACGGCCCACCAAGGCGACGAUGGGUAGCCGAUCUGAGAGGAUGAACGGCCACAUUGGAACUGAGACACGGUCCAGACUCCUACGGGAGGCAGCAGUGGGGAAUAUUGCGCAAUGGGGGAAACCCUGACGCAGCAACGCCGCGUGAGCGAUGAAGGCCUUCGGGUCGUAAAGCUCUGUCUUCAGGGACGAAACAUGACGGUACCUGAGGAGGAAGCCACGGCUAACUACGUGCCAGCAGCCGCGGUAAUACGUAGGUGGCGAGCGUUGUCCGGAAUUACUGGGCGUAAAGGAUGCGUAGGCGGAUGUUUAAGUCAGAUGUGAAAUCCCCGGGCUCAACCCGGGAAUAGCAUUUGAAACUGGAUAUCUAGAGUGCAGGAGAGGAAAGCGGAAUUCCUAGUGUAGCGGUGAAAUGCGUAGAUAUUAGGAAGAACACCAGUGGCGAAGGCGGCUUUCUGGACUGUAACUGACGCUGAGGCAUGAAAGCGUGGGGAGCAAACAGGAUUAGAUACCCUGGUAGUCCACGCUGUAAACGAUGAGUGCUAGGUGUGGGGGAUUUCGACAUCCUCUGUGCCGCAGUAAACGCAAUAAGCACUCCGCCUGGGGAGUACGGUCGCAAGACUAAAACUCAAAGGAAUUGACGGGGGCCCGCACAAGCAGCGGAGCAUGUGGUUUAAUUCGAAGCAACGCGAAGAACCUUACCAGGACUUGACAUCCAUAGAAUCCACAAGAGAUUGAGGAGUGCCUUUCGGGGAACUAUGAGACAGGUGGUGCAUGGUUGUCGUCAGCUCGUGUCGUGAGAUGUUGGGUUAAGUCCCGCAACGAGCGCAACCCUUGUCAUUAGUUGCUAACAUUAAGUUGAGCACUCUAAUGAGACUGCCGGGGACAACUCGGAGGAAGGUGGGGAUGACGUCAAAUCAUCAUGCCCCUUAUGUCCUGGGCUACACACGUGCUACAAUGGGUAGAACAAUAAGAAGCAAGAUGGCAACAUGGAGCAAAUCUUAAAAACUAUUCCCAGUUCGGAUUGAGGGCUGCAACCCGCCCUCAUGAAGCCGGAGUUGCUAGUAAUCGCGAAUCAGCAUGUCGCGGUGAAUACGUUCCCGGGCCUUGUACACACCGCCCGUCACACCAUGAGAGUCUGCAACACCCGAAGCCUGUGAGUUAACUUAG
rnacentral:rRNA from 1 species